UCUUCUUUAGGUAUAAAAAGUACAAAUAACUUCCAAUUAUUAAGUUUCAUAAUAAAAGAAGAA
rnacentral:tRNA from 1 species